rnacentral:rRNA from 1 species
CGAACGGAGCGCCGGACACGGACUAUUUCGGUAGGAAGCGUGCGGAGGCUUAGUGGCGGACGGGUGAGUAACGCGUGGAUAACCUGCCGCAUACCGGGGGAUAACAGCUGGAAACAGCUGCUAAUACCGCAUAUGCCCGCAGUGCCGCAUGGCACAGCGGGGAAAACUCCGGUGGUAUGCGAUGGGUCCGCGUCUGAUUAGGCAGUUGGCGGGGUAACGGCCCACCAAACCGACGAUCAGUAGCCGGCCUGAGAGGGCGGACGGCCACACUGGGACUGAGACACGGCCCAGACUCCUGCGGGAGGCAGCAGUGGGGAAUAUUGCACAAUGGGGGAAACCCUGAUGCAGCGACGCCGCGUGAAGGAAGAAGUAUCUCGGUAUGUAAACUUCUAUCAGCAGGGAAGAAAACAGACGGUACCUGACUAAGAAGCCCCGGCUAACUACGUGCCAGCAGCCGCGGUAAUACGUAGGGGGCAAGCGUUAUCCGGAUUUACUGGGUGUAAAGGGGGCGCAGACGGCCAUGGCAAGCCCGGUGUGAAAGGCAGGGGCAUAACCCCCUGGACUGCACUGGGAACUGUCAGGCUGGAGUGCCGGAGGGGUAAGCGGAAUUCCUGGUGUAGCGGUGAAAUGCGUAGAUUUCUGGGGGAACACCGGCGGCGAAGGCGGCUUACUGGACGGCAACU